rnacentral:misc_RNA from 1 species
UUAAGUUCAGCGGGUAUCCCUACCUGAUCCGAGGUCAAAUUCAUGGGGGUAGCUUCUGGGAGCCGAUCCGUCGGGCCCGAGUUCGCGUUUCUGCUGCGCUCGAAGCCAACGUGCCGGCCGCCAAUAGAUUUGAGGCGAGUCCGCGCCGUGAGGCAGGACAGACGCCCAACACCAAGCAGAGCUUGAAGGUUUGAAUGACG